rnacentral:rRNA from 1 species
AAAUUGAAGAGUUUGAUCAUGGCUCAGAUUGAACGCUGGCGGCAGGCCUAACACAUGCAAGUCGAGCGGUAACACAGAGAGCUUGCUCUCGGGUGACGAGCGGCGGACGGGUGAGUAAUGUCUGGGAAACUGCCUGAUGGAGGGGGAUAACUACUGGAAACGGUAGCUAAUACCGCAUAACGUCGCAAGACCAAAGUGGGGGACCUUCGGGCCUCAUGCCAUCAGAUGUGCCCAGAUGGGAUUAGCUAGUAGGUGGGGUAAUGGCUCACCUAGGCGACGAUCCCUAGCUGGUCUGAGAGGAUGACCAGCCACACUGGAACUGAGACACGGUCCAGACUCCUACGGGAGGCAGCAGUGGGGAAUAUUGCACAAUGGGCGCAAGCCUGAUGCAGCCAUGCCGCGUGUAUGAAGAAGGCCUUCGGGUUGUAAAGUACUUUCAGCGAGGAGGAAGGCGUUAAGGUUAAUAACCUU